GACGAACGCUGGCGGCGUGCUUAACACAUGCAAGUCGAACGGAAAGGCCCUGCUUUUGUGGGGUGCUCGAGUGGCGAACGGGUGAGUAACACGUGAGUAACCUGCCCUUGACUUUGGGAUAACUUCAGGAAACUGGGGCUAAUACCGGAUAGGAGCUCCUGCUGCAUGGUGGGGGUUGGAAAGUUUCGGCGGUUGGGGAUGGACUCGCGGCUUAUCAGCUUGUUGGUGGGGUAGUGGCUUACCAAGGCUUUGACGGGUAGCCGGCCUGAGGGGGUGACCGGCCACAUGGGACUGGAAUACGGCCCAGACUCCUACGGGAGGCAGCAGUGGGGAAUAUUGCACAAUGGGCGGAAGCCUGAUGCAGCAACGCCGCGUGCGGGAUGACGGCCUUCGGGUUGUAAACCGCUUUCGCCUGUGACGAAGCGUGAGUGACGGUAAUGGGUAAAGAAGCACCGGCUAACUACGUG
rnacentral:rRNA from 1 species